CACCCCUCUACAGGUGGACCAGCUCUCACUGGACCUUCCAGCUCAGUGGGCUGCUCACCACCUACAGCUACAGCUGGCAUCCCUACUGAGGGACGUCCUGCUCCCCCAGUGUCCGAGAGCAGCCUGCCACUAGCACACGGGGCCCCAGUGGAGGAGAAGGAGUCUUUGGGAAGCACCGAGCUCGCCCCGAGUACAGCCUCCAUUCAGCAAGAACCACAAAAGCAAGAGAUCACUCGUGUUGAGAAAGCAACUGGACGUGAAGUAGCUACUGUAACAGAACAGGGGUAAGAUUAUUAUUUUUGUAAUAAUACUGACAUUUAACCAACUCUUGUGGUAUUCUUCCUACAAACCGUAAUUGUAUCUCAAGGUCACUUCCACAUGCGUUCAAGGUGUGGGUGCAGAACUUUUCAGUCUGUAACAUUAGUGAUACAUUUAUCUUGUAUAAUUCCUAUUUAUUCGACAAAUAAUAUUCAGCAACAGGAGUUGUUACUUUUGUUAAAAUAACUGGGUUACUCUAGUUUACUUUGUUUUGUUUUUUUCAUUCACGCAGUGCUUUUCCAGGUUUGGUCUGUUAAGAGGUGGUUCAGUGUGUUGGGUGAAAUUAAACAAUCAUACAAAUGAAGAAGUUACUUUUCAAACUAAUG